GUUAAUGAGGUUAACGAAGGCGCUCUGGUUAAUGAGGUCAGAGGGGUUAAUGAGGUUAACGAAGGCGCUCCGGGUUAAUGAGGUUAACGAAGGCGCUCGGGUUAAUGAGGUUAACGAAGGCGCUCGGGUUAAUGAGGGCUCAUUAGGCCCCGGGCCCCCCUGGCCCGCGGUGGGGGAGGGGCGCUGUACAGGUUUUGUAGGGGGCGGGGCCGGGGCGUUUUUAACGAGUUCGGGGCUAAUAAAGGCGGAUUUGGUUAA